rnacentral:rRNA from 1 species
AUGGUGGGCGUCAAUGCCAAUGUGAGAAAGGGCCUCGCAUCUGUCGUCAUGUUGGUUUCAUGGGAGAUUUGGAACAAGCGGAACGCGAGAGUGUUCAGGAAUGUGUCCUCCAUGCCAUAUGUAAUCACAUCUAGAAUUAAGACCGAAGCCAGGCUUUGGGGGUUGGCGGGGGCCAAGCAUUUGAGUUCUCUUAUGCCGCGAGAGUAG